rnacentral:rRNA from 1 species
GACGAACCGUGCAAACGUUGUUCGGAAUCACUGGGCUUAAAGGGCGCGUAGGCGGGCAAGCAAGUCGAAGGUGAAAUCCCACGGCUCAACCGUGGAAGUGCCCCCGAUACUGCUUGUCUUGAGGGAGAUAGGGGCGUGCGGAACUUCCGGUGGAGCGGUGAAAUGCGUAGAUAUCGGAAGGAACACCGGUGGCGAAAGCGGCGCGCUGGAUCUCUUCUGACGCUGAGGCGCGAAAGCUAGGGGAGCAAACGGG